rnacentral:lncRNA from 1 species
UGAGAAAGAGAUAUGUGCAGCUCCUAUCGGGAUUUGUCGGCACAUUCGGGCGGUGUUGCUGGUCUUGUUUUAACCUGUCGAAGUGUCUUGAAGAACCGAGGUACCAAGUCUGAUCGGAACGUCUCGGGAGGAGGUCUAUUCCUUCGUUGACCGUGAGAGCUUGUCAUGGGCUAAGUUGGGACUCCCCUGCAGGGAUUUGAACUUUCGAAAGCCAUGCCCGCGGUUAUGGGCAGAUGGGAAUUUGUUAAUGUUCGGUUGUAGAUAACUUGAACCUUAACUUUAAAAUGAAUCAACAGCUUGUGUAACCGUGAUGGUCUCUUUCCGUCGGAGUCCAGGAAGUGAACACGGUUGUUGGAGUUAUGCUUGACGUAGGUUGCUAUAGGAUCACUUCUUGAUCAUACUUUUAUCGAUCGUGCUUUGCCUUCUCUUCUCGCUCUCAUUUGCGUAUGUUAGCCACCAUAUAUGCUAGUCGCUUGCUGCAGCUCCACCUCAUACCUUUUACCUUACCCAUAAGCUUAAAUAGUCUUGAUCGCGAGGGUGCGAGAUUGCUGAGUCCCUGUGGCUCACAGAUACUUCCAAAACCAGUUUGCAGGUGCCGAUGUUACAGAGCAGGUGUCGCAACCAAGCUCAAGAAGGAGCUCUAUGAAGAUCUUGUCCUUUGUGUUGUUUCGUUCUAGUUGUUCAGUAGUGGAGCCCAGUUGGGGUCGAUAGGGUACCUUUGUCGCAUUUGGGGUUCUUCUUUUAUUUUGGUUCUGUAGUCGGACCUUGAUUGUAUCUGGAUGAUGUAAUGCUUUAUUCAUGUAUUGUGUGAAGUGGCGAUUGUAAGCCAACCAUGUAUCUUUUUCCCUUAUGUAUUACAUGGGUUGUGUGAAGAUUACCUCUCUUGCGACAUUGCUUUCAAUGCGGUUAUGCCUCUAAGUCGUGCUUCGACACGUGGGAGAUAUAGCCGCAUCGAGGGCGUUACAAGUUGGUAAUCAGAGCCUUCCCCGACCUUAGGAGCCCCAUUGCUUGAUCGUUUUUAGUGGCCGAGUUGUGUAUAGAAAAAUGUUUUGAGUCAUUUAGGAAUUAUAUAUCGGAGAGUUUAGGAAUUCUUUUUACUCCCCAGUCUCCUCAUCGCUCUGGUAAGGCAUCCUGACGUAGAUUUUUAACUCUUCUCUUCUCAAAUUUCACUAAAAAAAAAUUUAGGAUCACGCGAGUAUCUUGGAAUCGUUCCGAUGGUUUUAUGAUGAGAACAUUGUCUUGGUGCCUCCUGUCAGGGGUUUUGUGGAAGUGUCCCGGGGAGUUGAGCUCUGAGGUGUUGUCGUCAUAAUUUUAUCGUUGCAGUUCUGGAAUACCUGAGUUUAGUACGCCGACAUCGAAAAUCUCUUUUAUGCAGUUUGUUGGUGAGAUAACCUCGACGCCACCCAGUACUGGGGCGGGAGUUCGGGAGUAUUGCCAUUGUAUAACGGAUGCUUUUCGAAGGUUGAGGUAGAUGAUUUCCGAAGGUUUCUUGGUUAUGUGUUGAAGGAUGGAUACAACUGGAUGUAGGAUUUGUUAGUUUUGGGUGAUAUAUUAUGCUUCCCCUGUAUCCCCAACACCUGAUUGCAUAACCGGAAAGUUUCGGGAGUUUAUAAGUGGGAAUUCAAGUAGCUCUUAGGAUAUCUUUCCGACAUAUGUAUGAUAUGAAAUUGGGGUUUGACGUCUAGUGGUCCGCCUAUUCACGGUCGGUUUUACAGUGGUCUCGUUGUGUCUUAAAGAGUCCUUGGCUAUGCCGACUCGGGGACGCUUCGUAUGUCAUGUGCACUGCCUUGUACAUGAUGGUGCUGUACGAUCGAGCCCGUGUAGGCCCCACCACGAAAACUUCGGACAGAAUCUCAGUCAUAUGUUUGUUCUGGCUUAUUUUGCAAGCCAAUCCUUUGUUUUGUUUUUGAGUUGUGGUAUUCGAGUUGCUUUGAAGUCAAAUGUUGAUUCCAUACCUUCCCCAAAUGGUGUUUUCAUACUCCGAUGUGAAUACCAAUCCUUCAUGAUAAUCGAGAUUGUCAUGUCAAUCCUUUUCACCGGUGUGUUUCUCUUCAAGUGGAUCCGAACAUUUCAACAUCCGCAAGAUCCAAUCUCAGCUUUCUCAACGGUGUUCGUUCAUCCAUCCCAAGUUGUCUUUGUUUUCCCGCCCUCCCUCCCUUGUUUUCUUCAAGGACUCAGAUUUCUUAAUCGAGUAUCCAUCUUAUUGAUGUGAAGCCUCUCCAUUCUUUUCCUUCAAUGUUCUUAUCCGGUGAUGCUCAUGAAGAUUUUAACGAAGUUUCUAGUUCACCAUUAUUCAUUAUUUUUCUUCUCCGGUGGAUCUAAUUCAAGCUUUCGGUGUUGAUCAUAUUCUUUUCUGUAUUUCAAAUGCUUUUAUCAUACCGGUGCACCUCAUAAUCAUCCACUCUUCACUAUUCAUUUGUUCCAGUGUGUUCAAGAUAUCUCGAGUCUGUUAUCUCAUUCAAGUCAUUUAAUUCAAACGGUGCAUUCUCCUUUUCAAGCAAUCUUUUCAACGGUGUAUCUUUUGAGUGGGCCCUAACCCACAGGUCUUUUCCCAGGAUCUUACCUGACUCUUCUUAUUUUCCCGGAGCUAUCCUAAAUUCCUUUUAAAGUUUGACGUAAGAAUGAGUUAUCAUCAGUCAAAUGCCAUCUCCUAGAUCUUUCGCAAUUCUUUUCAUCGUUGGCUCAACCUCUUCGUUUUGAUUCUUCCGGAGUUUCUAAAUAAUUCAUGGUGGUGUUUCUCGUCGUCAUUCUCGGAGAUUUGAAGACCGAAGAAGAGUUUUACCUCCAUAUUUUGCUCCACUCUCCUCAAGAUUCGUGAUUCUAGCUUGUUGCCAUCCUCUCAUAAUUGUUCGAUUGUGAGAAUUCUUUUUAUCCAUCUGGAGCAAUUCAAGAGCCUUUUCAGUUUGUUCAUCCGGAGUCCAUCAAUGCAGGUUUAUUCAUUCUCAGCUUUCAGCUAUCAUUCUCCAAAUUUUACCGGUGCUUCAUGCAAGUGAUCUUUAAUCGGCUCGUGAUCUCUUUGUUCUCAUGGAUCUAAAUACUUUCAAGCAUCUUCGUUCAUUUGUUAAUUCUUCCCGGUGUUUCGUUAAUGUUUUAUUCGUUCUUUUUCAAUUCUUACGGUGGUUCGUUCAAGAGUUUUCUUCCUUUGUGUAUCAUAUCUAUGCAUUCAUGCUUUUCAAAUUCUACCGGUGGAUCGUUGAAGACUUUCUCAAGUUUGCGCUAUAUCUAUCUUAAUCUUUCUUCGAGGAUAAUUAGUAUGCCAAAUCCAUUGCUUGUCAGCAAUUAAAUUGUUAAAGUAUGCGCACAACGUAAUUCUUAUUCUUUGUUUCAUCCAAGUGAAUUAAUUCCCUAUUCCGGAGGUUCAUCAAAAUUCUUGAUCUCAAUUGUUCAUCUUAUCUUUGUCCCGGAGUUCCUACCUCUCGCAAUUAUAUCACCAUGGAGAUUCAUCUAAAUCAUUACAAGGAUUCACCUUGUGUUUUCAACUUCUCUUGCUUUUAUCAUCAUUUUGUUUACCGGAGUUCCUCAUGGAUGUUCUACAUGAUGGUUCAUCGAGGUUUUAUUUCCUUCUCGAAGCGUUCAUCAACAUUCUUUUCUAAGGAGCUCAAUCAUUCUUCAUUUUGUAAUCCGGAGUGCAAUUGUUCUUCCUUAUCUUUUGAGGUGGUAUUAUGUCAUUCUUGAUAAUUUGAGUUCAUGUUUCAUGAUUCACAUAUUAUUAAGAAUGAGGUAUUUUAAAUCCAUCAAUCUCGUCAUUGAAGUAUCUUGGGUUAUAUGUCACCUAAAUCUUUCCCUAAGGAUUGUUGCUAUCUAUGGUGCUCAUAAGUGACCCAAGUUCUUCUUUUAACCUCCCGGUGAAAUAUUUUCUCGUCUCCUUGUUCAUUCCAAUCCAAUUUUUUUCCGUGAGUGGCAGGUUGUCACCUCAUAAUUCGAGAUGUAUUCCAUAAGACCAUAUCAAACUUAUUCUUUUUGUUGUUGUUUUUCCAACAACUCCGUUCGACCCUUCUCUUAAAGAUGCCUUUUUAAACUCGUUUGUGGUAGAUGUUGGCAUUUUCUUCUCCAUUCUCCUAUUUCAAUUAUCUAUCUUCUAUUCUUUUGUUCCGGAGGCAUUGUCAUGUUGCUCUUUUCAACCCAUCAUCCCAUUUUGUCAAAGAUCAUGUUCUUUUCAUGCCUAUCCAUUUAACCGGAGCAUUGUGUCCUCUGCUCAAGUUCUUUUCGUCUUAUCAAGUUUCAUAUCUCUUUCUACCGGAGUGCUGUCUGAAUUUGUUCUUCCUUGUCCCUCUUUUCUAACGGAGUGUUUUCAACUUUGUUCAUCUCCGUUGUAUUCUUUCUUUCAAUGUGUACAACCUCACAAGGUUCUUUGGUUUCACUCAAUUGUCAAAGAAGGAACUUAGUUUUACCUCUCCUCUUUCUCUUCCAUUUGCCCUCCGGUGCCAUUCUAAAUCUCGGGACGAGAUCCUCUCGUAGUGGUGGAGUGUUGUGACGCCCCGAGACCGUUGUGCCAGGUGUCUUCGAGUUAUUCGCUGCUGUUGCCAGGUCAUUUGCUUGCGUGUUGCAUUUCAUCAUGUCAUCAUGUGCAUUGCAUCAUCAUGUUUUCAAAACUUGCAUCCGUCCUGGUCUCCUCGUUCCGUCCGUUGUCCGUUUUGAGCCCAGACACACUUGCACGCGCCCGCGGCAUGUCCGAAAUAUUAUUAUAUAAGUGGCCGGAAAAUGUUCUCGGAAUGGGGUGAAAGUUGGCAUGUGGUGCUGUUAUGUUGUUAGUAGGUCGCCUGCCAAGUUUCAUCGCAUUCGAAGCUCGUUUGAUAGCCUAACCGUUAAAUUAUAGCGGCAAUAUAGCCGGUCUAACGUCAGAUGUUUUCGGUCACCGGAAAACAGUCGCCGGGCCUCCCUCUCUUCUCUUCUCUCAGGUCGAGACCGUCUAUACAACUCACUACCUACCGCCAGGUCCAACCUAACCUCUCUUGUUAGCCCGCAGCCCCCCUCGCGCGCGUCCGAAAGUUGUCCCGAACCGACCCGAGGAGUCAUCACCGUUGUGUCUGGAUCAUCCCCAAACAUCUACAAAACGUCACCGUUUUCUUGUUUGGACUCCCUAUCUAUUUUUUUUUCGGCCGUCUGAUUACGAUCGGAGGGACGAGAUAACCCCUAACCUAUCCUACUCGCUAUAUAUAUUAGCCUAACCCUAGACCAACUCCCUCUUUUUCCUCACCCGCCGCCACUCUCUCAUCGGGAUCAUACCAGAUCCCCUUCUCACCCAACUAGCUAGCUCCUUCGAGUAUCCCUCGAUCCCCUCCAAAUCCGCAAACAACCUCCUCAUCCCUGUUCGAUCCAGAGGAGUGGAGCUCCUCCGCGCCCAUAGGCCCUCCCGCUCGAAGGCUCCACGCUGUAGCUCCAGGCCGACCACGAGCCCUCUCCCUCGGUCCCUCCUUCUCUUCUUUCUUUCUCCUGCACUCUCAACUCUCUCUCUGUGUGCCUCACAGGACGCCAUGGCUGCCCCGAAGCUCCAAGACGCUGCUGUCCCGCGCCCGGGUCCUGCAACCUCGCCCGCACCUCGGAUCCAUCCCUUGUUUCGCCUCCCGCGCUGAGCUCCUCAAGUCCCGCGUCCGUCGUGGCCAUCGAGCACAUCGGCAUCGUCCUUGCCUCCCUGCAGGAACUGAACAUCGCCGCCGCCCAUGGAACUCCUCCGCCAUGGACAGCGUCUCUCCAGCGCCUUGUGUCGCCUACUUCGCUCCGGGACUGACUCCUUCCACCUCGAUCUGGUUGCUGCCGUCGCGCCAAGCUCCGCCGUCGCCAGCCCGCAUCCUGGUCGCCCGCCUCCGCUUCCUCUGCAACGAGCAGAGGCACGUUCGUCAAGCGCCCGCUUCCCCUGUUCUUGCUCGCUCGCGUGAGAAGAGCGCCUCGCCCGCCCCGUUAACCGCAUCGCUCCCUAUUUCCUAGCACGGGCCAGCCUCGCCUACCCAGAUCCGCCCCCCGGGCCACAUUCCUCGCGUGCGUGUGGGCUGACCCCGUCCAAGGCCAGCGUGCCCUGCCAGGCCGCUUCCUCCACAGAUCUAGGCCAAGCCCAUGGUGAGAACCCCCCCUUCAGACCUCUGUGCGGUUGGGCCAGCCAGAUUCGGCCCAUGUCACGUUUUUUUCCGUUCUGCGAUUUGUCUAUUUAUCCAGUGUUUGCCUGUUUUACAGAAAACCCCUUGUGCUACAUGCAUAUAAUAACUCACAAUUGGUGCAUCGGUUUAAAAUGAAUUAUACAUGAAAGUUGCUUAGAAUUUUGUGUAGAUUAAUAAUAUCCAACUUUCAUCUAUGUUUAAAAUGCUUAAAAUGUUGUUUGGUUAAAUUUGCUCCUAUGCCAUGUUAAAAUGAUUUAAUUCAUAACUAAUUAACCGUAGCUCCGAAUCUAACAAACUUUAUAUGUAAAUGGGGUAGAAUUUUGCCUAGUUUAACUUGGUGGCAUCAUCUUGCAUGUUUAAUAACUAUAAAAUAUGGUUUAGGGCAGAACAGUAACAAACCUUAAAUAGGCAUAUGGGGAUUUACCGGAUUCGUUAUUUGUUAUAUCCGGCCCCAUUUAAAUUGUUUAGAUGAUGUAGUUUUGUUAUGCCUCACCUCUUGCCAUGUUUAACAACAUUUAAUAUUGUUGGGUACCUAACCGAGAUCGAUCUAAAUAACUUGAAUGUGGUGUUUCAUCAAUGUGCAACGGAGUUGCAUAUUGAGCUCCAUUUAAUUUGUAGGAUUGCUUGUGCACUUUGCCAUGCCAUGCCUCAUUAAACCGGACAUGCAUCAUACUUGUUUGCGCAUCAUGCCAUGACUAUGUGGUGGUUGUUUACUAUGUUGUGUGCUUUUUCCGGUGUUUGCUUCUUCGGGUUGGUUCCGGUAACAUCGCGUUUGUGAGGAACCGUUCGACUACGUCAGUUGGUCUUCUUCAUGGACUCGUUCUUCUUCCUUGCGGGAUUUCAGGCAAGAUGAUCAUACCCUCGAAAUCACUACUAUCUUUGCUUUGCUAGAUGCUCGCUCUUUUGCUAUGCCAAUGCUACGAUGUCUUCCACUUGCUUUCAAGCCUCCCAAAUUGCCAUGUCAAACCUCUAACCCACCAUGUCCUAGCAAACCGUUGAUUGGCUAUGUUACCGCUUUGCUCAGCCCCUCUUAUAGCGUUGCUAGUUGCAGGUGAAGAUUGGAGACCGUUCCUUGUUGGAACAUUUAUAUACUUGUUGGGAUAUCAUUAUAUUGUCAUGUUAUCUUAAUGCAUCUAUAUACUUGGUAAAGGGUGGAAGGCUCGGCCUCUCGCCUAGUGUUUUGUUCCACUCUUGCCGCCCUAGUUUCCGUCAUAUCGGUGUUAUGUUCCCGAAUUUUUGCGUUCCUUACGCGGUUGGGUUAUAAUGGGAACCCCUUGAUAGUUCGCCUUGAUUAAAGCUUUUCCAGCAAUGCCCAACAUUGGUUUUACCAUUCGCCACCUAGCCUCUUUUUCCCUUGGGUUUCGCGGACUCAAGGGUCAUCAUUAUUUUUACCCCCCCGGGGCCAAUGCUCCUCUGAGUGUUGGUCCACCUGUCAGCUGCCGGUGGCCACCAGGGGCAACUCUGGGCUGGCCUACCCGUACCUAAGACAAUCUGAGUGUGCCCUGAGAAAGAGAUAUGUGCAGCUCCUAUCGGGAUUUGUCGGCACAUUCGGGCGGUGUUGCUGGUCUUAUUUUAACCCGUCGAAGUGUCUUGAAGAACCGAGGUACCGAGUCUGAUCGGAACGUCUCGGGAGGAGGUCUAUUCCUUUGUUGACCAUGAGAGCUUGUCAUGGGCUAAGCUGGGACUCCCUGCAGGGAUUUGAACUUUCGAAAGCCAUUCCAGCGGUUAUGGGCAGAUGGGAAUUUGUUAAUGUCCGGUUGUAGAUAACUUGAACCUUAACUUUUAAAAUGAAUCAACAGCGUGUGUAACCGUGAUGGUCUCUUUCCGGCGGAGUCCGGGAAGUGAACACGGUUGUUGGAGUUAUGCUUGACGUAGGUUGCUAUAGGAUCACUUCUUGAUCAUACUUUUAUCGACCGUGCUUUGCCUUCUCUUCUCGCUCUCAUUUGCGUAUGUUAGCCACCAUAUAUGCUAGUCGCUUGCUGCAGCUCCACCUCAUACCUUUUACCUUACCCAUAAGCUUAAAUAGUCUUGAUCACGAGGGUGCGAGAUUGCUGAGUCCCUGUGGCUCACAGAUACUUCCAAAACCAGUUUGCAGGUGCCGAUGUUACAGAGCAGGUGUCGCAACCAAGCUCAAGAAGGAGCUCGGUGAAGAUCUUGUCCUUUGUGUUGUUUCGUUCUAGUUGUUCAGUAGUGGAGCCCAGUUGGGGUCGAUCGAGGACCUUUGUCGCAUUUGGGGUUCUUCUUUUAUUUUGGUUCCGUAGUCGGACCUUGAUUGUAUUUGGAUGAUGUAAUGCUUUAUUCAUGUAUUGUGUGGAGUGGCGAUUAUAAGCCAACCAUGUAUCUUUUUCCCUUAUGUAUUACAUGGGUUGUGUGAAGAUUACCUCUCUUGCAACAUUGCUUUCAAUGUGGUUAUGCCUCUAAGUUGUGCUUCGACACGUGGGAGAUAUAGCCGCAUCGAGGGCAUUACAAAAAACUCUU